rnacentral:lncRNA from 1 species
AUGGAAAGCAGGUAACUCCUUUGUGCAGUUUCAGCUCACUUCCAACAGGGAAGAUGAAUUUGAGUCUUUUCCUGCUUCUAGGAUGGUAGAGAGCAGACUACAGCCUGAGAUCCAUCCCUAGAGUCAAGGAAACUUUUCUUUUGAGCUAUUGGCAACUUUUAAUGAUUAAGUAUACUUCUAUGAACAAAACUUGGAGCAUCUUUGUUUCUCUCUACUCAAUUUCUCCAGAAUUUGGAAACUAUCUGUGCAAAGAACUGAAUGUGUUGCAGUCCAUUGAAUUAAUCCAAAAUUCGUAUGUUGAAUUUCUCACCUUCAAUGGGAUGGUAUGAGAUGAUGGGGCCCUUGGGAAACAAUUAGAGUGAAGCCCUCAUGAAUGGGAUUAGUGGUCUUCUAAAAUGAACCUGAGAGAGUUCUUUCAUCUUCUUCCUGCCAUGUGAAGACAUAAAGAGAUGAUCAUCUAGGAACCAGGCCCUCACCAGACACAAAGUAAGUCUUCUGUCACCUUGAUCUUGAGUAUCUCAGUUUCCAAGCAGUGAGAAAUAAGUAUUGUUCAACCACCCAGUUCGUGGUAUUCUAUUGUAGUGGCCCAAAUGGACUAAGACACUUAUAUUUAAAAAAAAAAAAAAUCUUUAUUAACUGCUUUUCUUUCUUUUUUCUCUUUCUUUCUUCUUUCUCUCUCUCUCUUUCUCUUUCUUUCUUUUUUUGACAAAGUCUCACUCUGUCGCCCCGGCUGGAGUGCAAUGGCGUAAUCUCGCCUCACUGCAACCUCCACCUCCUGGAUUGAAGUGAUUCUCCUGCCUCAGCCUCCUGAAUAGCUGGAUUACAGGCAUACACUACCACGCCCAGCUAAUUUUUGUAUUUUUAGCAGAGACAGAAUUUCACCAUGUUGAUCAGGAUGGUCUCGAACUCCUGACCUCAUGAUCCACUUGCCUUUGCCUCCCAAAGUGCUGGGAUUACAGGUAUGAGCCACUGUGCCCAGCCAACUGCUCAUUUUUCAUAGUUGAAUGUCAUUAAAUAUUGUUUAACAUGGAUAAAAUAACGUAGAGGAAAUUAUGCAGAGAUAACAAUUAGGAA